rnacentral:rRNA from 1 species
GAUGAACGCUAGCGGCAGGCUUAAUACAUGCAAGUCGAGGGACAGCACAGGUAGCAAUACUGGGUGGUAACCGGCAAACGGGUGCGGAACACGUACACAACCUUCCUUUAAGUGGGGGAUAGCCCAGAGAAAUUUGGAUUAAUACCCCGUAAUAUAGUUGAAUGGCAUCAUCUGAUUAUUAUAGCUACGGCGCUUAAUGAUGGGUGUGCGGCUGAUUAGAUAGUUGGCGGGGUAACGGCCCACCAAGUCUACGAUCAGUAGCUGAUGUGAGAGCAUGAUCAGCCACACGGGCACUGAGACACGGGCCCGACUCCUACGGGAGGCAGCAGUAAGGAAUAUUGGUCAAUGGACGCAAGUCUGAACCAGCCAUGCCGCGUGAAGGAUUAAGGUCCUCUGGAUUGUAAACUUCUUUUAUUUGGGACGAAAAAGGGCCUUUCUAGGUCAACUGACGGUACCAGAUGAAUAAGCACCGGCUAACUCCGUGCCAGCCGUCGCAGUAACAC